CUUAUUACGUUCUUGCCCUUUGUAUCGCGUGCAAUAAAGUGCAUCGAGGAUUGACACGGGUUCACGAGCGUGCUCGCGCCCGUGCACUGUCGGUAAUUGUAGAUUUCAUGCAGGAGCCUCGAGGCGGCGUUGUUAAGGAAGCUAAACUUUCUUUUACCUUAAAGCGUCUUACGAUAUCAUCGCGGAAUACUAAUUAGACUAACACGACCGCACGAACUGAUUACAAAAGUUUUCUUUUGCCGGUGUUGACGAAACUGUUUUGAACGAAUUCUACACGUCUGUUUUGGAUUGAGAAAGAUUUUAGAUUCGUGUUUGUGACAAUCAAAUAUAGUGGAAAUAUUUUUGGUUAAUAAGAUUAGAUUAGAUUUUUAUUGUGAAACUAUUAAUUGGGCGGUUAUAUUAGGAUAUAUGGAAUAUGGAAUAAUAUUAGUGUGGUAGAAUUUAUUUUUUUCUUAUAGAUUAAAUAAAUGUUUCUGAUUAUGGUUAUAUGAUAAAUGUGUUACCGAUCAAAUAUGGCGGUAGAAUGUUUUCGGUUAAUAUACAUGAUUAGGUUAGAUUUUUAUUUUAUAGAUAUUUGCACAGCGAAUUGUAUUGAAGCAUAAUAUUGAUUAUUAUUUUAUUUUAGAAUUUAUUUUUCGUUUUAAAUUCAAUAAAUAAGUUUGGAUAAUCAAUCAUGAUUAUUAACCAAAUAUAGUAUCAUAUUUGAUCGUUGAUUUAGAUGAUACGAUAUGUUUUUUAUUUUUAUCGUUAUAUAUAUUUUUAUUCCAUAUUUUUUCUUUAUUACAGUUAUUCCCAGAAUUAGGUUAUCGUUAUUUAUAUAUUCUACUUUAAAGCCAUUCGCAUAUCAUCCAUUAGUCAAAUUUCCUAAAAUUGAUAACGCAUAGCAAUUUUUUAAAAGUUUCAACAUGAAGUUUCUUUAAAAAUUCUUCAUAAAUUUUUCAUGUAAGAUCAAUAUCAAUUUUCGUUCAUGCAAUUUUAUCAUCGAUGGGUUAUUCUUCUUUUCAAAUAUCGUUGAAAAGAAUGAAAUAUAGAUAUAAUUUUUAAAUUAUCAAAACAUUAUAAAUAGAUUAAAAAUACAAGAAGAAGAAAAACAAACUUAACGAAAGACAGAAUUCUCUAACGAAACCAGAAAUCAUGUUUUCAUUAUACGAGCAACCCAUCCCUUACCAAGCAAGAAUCCUAUCAGAAUCUCGAGUCAAAUUAUCAAACCUCGAUCCAAUCCCAUCAAACCUCUUUCACCGUGAAGGAAUCUCCGCGAAGGGGAAGUGUGUUCCACCUUUCAUCCGAUUGAAAUGCGAUAAACCGCAGGCAAGGACGGGAAUAGCGAGGAUUCCAUCGAUUCGUUCGCGGGGAAUGGGCGUGUUGCGUGGCUGCAGGCUCGAAGAAGUGGCGAAUUUUAAUUAGCGUAGUGCCAGCCGCUUUCUCACAUCCUGUGACAAGGCUUUUUGAACGGAAAGGGAAAGAAAGAGAGAAAUCAAUAUUUUAAAAAUACUACUUUCAAUGUGCUACUUUCAACGUAUCUAUAUUUUCUAUCACAACAACCAAUAUUAUAAAUUAUUAAUGGCCAAUAAUAGCGUUUAUAUCUAUCUAAUUAUUCAUUGAAAAAAUAAUAAUAAUAUAAUAAAAUAAAAUCUCAGAUUUAUUACAAUUACAAUUUUUAUCACAUAUAUUGAAUAUUGAAAAAACUCACAAAAAAAAAUGACAUAUAUCUACGUCAGUGAUUUGAAUUCUACUUAACAUUGCAAAUAAUGUUAAUGCUAAUCUUAAAAUAAGGUUUUUUUUUUAUCUUAUAUUAUUCUAGAUCAUACAAGAAAAACGCAAUAAAACUUAUCAAGUUAUUCUUCUUUUUAAUUUUUAUCAUUUUACAAAAGAGCAAUAUUAAAACUAUGGCUGGUUCAAGAUUCAAGGUGUGAACCUUGAUAGCCUAUUAUAUUCAUCUUUUUAACUUUGAAAUAUUGAACCACUCCCAGUUAAUUAUUGGAAAAGAUGAAAAAAAAAAAGAACCAUAAAAUCAACAAAAUGAAUAUUUAUGCGCUUUUUAUACAGAUAAAGUAACAGAAUGAGAUUUUCGGUUAAUAGCAUUAGGUUAUUGUCAUUAAAUCUUUUGAGAAAUAAAAUAUUAUAGGCAAAUAUACAGUAUGUACAGUAUGAAAGAGAAAAAGAGCUUGUUGCGUGGCCAAGGCAAAAGUAGGUAAAUGGGCUCGCGUGAUGCGCCAACGACGUCAAUGGGCCUAUAAUCGCAUCGUCUCACUGAACUUUAUAAAUAUUAUACAUGUGUUUGUUCGUGCACGAAGGAGGAGUGGAGUGGAACGUUUGGGAGAAUUACGUAAGAAAUGCGCUCGGGUUAAUUGCUAGCCGCGAGGGUGUCGUUUUCGCGGUACUAGUACUAAUCUCUAUGGGACGAUGGAUCGGGUUGUUGAAAAUUGAGGUCAGAGAGUUGAAAAAUGUAAAGAUUUUGCUUUAGGGCGAUUUCUUAUUUUAUGUGAAAAAAAAAAAAAGGAAAACGAAUGAUGCUAUCCUGAUUAGAAAGCUGAUUUAAGAUUUUUAUAGAAUUGAUAUCUAGGAAAGAGGAUUUGAAAAGAUUUUGUUUCAAGACUGGUUUGCUGAGAUAUUGAAGAAGAAAGAAUAACGAGAAAUGUUUGUAUUUUCUUUGAAAAAUUGAUAAAAUUUUUAAAACAUUCAAUUAAUGGGGCAAUCUUCAUUUAAUGAAGAUUAAAGGGGGAUAAGAAGAAUUGCAUUGUGUGGAAAACAAUGGCAUGUUAAAAUUUAUAAGUAAGAAGCAUGAAAGAAGUUAUUUUCCAAAGGAAAUCUUGUAUCUUUGUAUAUUGAAUAUAAAAGGCAAUUCUUAAAAUGCAAGGGAAAGUGAAUUUGAUGAAAAUUAAAUAAGAUAAAAGAAAUUAAUAUGCAGAAGAUGAAAAGAAAUCUGUAAGAGAUUUCUAUUUGGAAAUUGUGAAGAAAAUUGUUGUGCAUGUGAAAAAGAAUACAUACACACAAGAUACAAGGAAAAACUUUAUUUUUUAAAAGAGAUCUAGGGAAUUUUAAGAUCACAGGAUGUUUAUUUGAUAUGAAAGAUGAACAAGAUGUAUCUACAUAAAUAAAUUUAAUAAUACUGAACAUAACUGCAUUAUGUAAAGAAAAAAUAAUGAGAGAAAAAAAAUAUAGAAAAAGUUUUUUAAAGGAUUUUUAAAACUCUAUAAGUAUAAAAUUUACCUUCAAUAAUUCUAUUGGUAAUGAUCCGUUAUUUGGAAGUUUCGCGUGAAACUUUUCUCCUUAUUUAGACUUCUUCAAACAGAAUUGGUCUCGAAUUUUUUUAAAUAUACCGUGCAAGAUAUAGUGCUCAUGAUGAUAAACUUGAAAUGUGUAGUUUGAAGCAAUAUUGCGUGCUUCCUUUCCUAUAAAAAUACAAGGCCAAUUAAUAUGUUGAUAAUGAAUUGAAAGCUUCCUGUUGGCACCGAGUUUUAAUAAUUUAAUUAACUUUCUAGUUACAUUAUUUAUAAUAGGAACUCGUGGAAAUGGCAAUUAAUUUUCAAAUAAUACGUUUCAAGAAUUUCAGAUCUCUCAGAAUUUACAAUAUACGUAAUUGCAAUUUUAAGAAUUUGUUAUAAAAUAAAAUAAAUUCAUUGUACAUUGAG